CGGACGGGUGAGUAAUGUCUGGGAAACUGCCUGAUGGAGGGGGAUAACUACUGGAAACGGUAGCUAAUACCGCAUAACGUCGCAAGACCAAAGAGGGGGACCUUCGGGCCUCUUGCCAUCGGAUGUGCCCAGAUGAGAUUAGCUAGUAGGUGGGGUAAAGGCUCACCUAGGCGACGAUCCCUAGCUGGUCUGAGAGGAUGACCAGCCACACUGGAACUGAGACACGGUCCAG
rnacentral:rRNA from 1 species